GGAAGUUCAGUUCAGCCGAAUCUUUUUACUGCCUUGACUUACGUAUUGAAGAAGAUUCAUCAUCUGCCUAGGAGUAUAUUCCUUCAACAAAGGCAUAAACAAAAUUAUUAGCUGCUGACGACGCGAAUUUCUUAAAUUAAUGACAACGAAUUUUCAGGUAAAUAAUAUGCCUUUAUGUAUGUUUCGACAAUAUGUGGGUCAGGAAGAGGUCUUAGACGUGUCAAGCUUUCCACUUUGACUUGAAAAUGCCUGAAGUCUAACUGCAUUAGUGCACGACCUUCGUUCGUGCAUUUUCUUACAGCGGAAAAUCUAAAGAAUUUCAGAUCGGAUACGGUCUUACAUAAAGGAGGCAGAAUCUGAGGGUAACAGACACAAAGGACACUCGAGUCGUAGUCACUGAGAACCUGCAAAAGAAAUAAGAAUUACAUCAUAGAUGGAAUAUGAUUUUGAUAGCUUUUUGUUUCAA